ensembl:lncRNA
GUCAAGAUAAACACUUGUUAAACAAAUGCACAGAUACCGGUACAAAAUUCUUAAACCGAUUUAUACUGAACACAUCAUCAGAAAGAGCAAGAACAGACCACUUCUAGAUCAAACAUAUAAAAAUAUGUAUAUUUCAUGAGUUUGUGUGUUACUGUAAUGUAAUUCGUUAGCAAAAUAAAGGCAAACCAGCUUUGAUGGAGAUGUGAAUAUGAGACUGCACAAAGUCUAAAUGCCCACUGGACUUAUGUAUUAUUUAAAAACUAUAUUCACAGCAGAUUUAUUAUUCCAUUUUCAUUUUUAAUUCUGUUAAAUUUAGGAACUGUGCUGGAAUUCAAAAGACAUUCUGAAUGCUACAUAAGCAUUGUGUGUGUGUGUGUGUGUGUGUGUGUGUGUGUGUGUGUGUGUGUGUGUGUGAUGAGUGUUUGCUCUGUCUUCAAAAGGUUAUUGAGGCGCUGAACCAGUACUGUCUCUAAAGUACACUAGUUACAUUUUAAUUCACUAGUUAAUAAUGAUUAUUCUGUCGUAAUAUUUAUUCAAGACAAAUGUUCAUGCGAGUCUUAAUACAUGUAAUAAAUAUUAAUUUCAGCAUUGUGCUUUGAUCCCUUUACUGUGUAAGUGAUGUUCAACAGCCCUCGAUGUUGAUGAUAUGAUCUGUGACUGAAGGGUUCUUUUGUGUCUGAGAUCAGAAACAAAAGACAUUAACAAUUCAAGUCCUUCAGAGUCUUUAUCAAAGCUCAGCAUUCUUCCCAUUAUGACUUUAAUUCAUUCUACCAAAGUACAAAAAUAAUUUAAAGAAAUUGAAGAUUACAUUACAAGUCCCCCUCAGCUGUUAAAGUGAAGGACAUUUGAGAAACACAUGAACACUGAGCCCUCAGUUGAGCCUGAUGCCACAAACACAGGAUCUAAGUCUAAUUUAAUUUCCCAACCCACUGAGCCAUACUAACCUCAGCAUGCAGACCAUCCAAACGAGCAGAUCUGGGGCUGCAGAACAUUCCAGAACCAGACAUUAAAGGGACAUGUCCUCUCUGAACUCCAACCACUGAGUUCCUUAUGGAUGAAUGCUGUAAUGAUUUUUUUUAAAAAUGUAAAAAAAAAAAGAUUUAUUGAUUGAUGGAAGCUUGUGGAUCGACUUUUAUAUACUAUUAACAGACGAGGCUCACGAAAUCACUGAUGUUUUGUUAGCUUUAGAAAACAAAUCCUUACUCAUCACUCAUUUUACAUGAUUCUGUUAAAUAGCUCACUCAAAAAUGUACAUAUAUCAUGUUGUCCCAAACCUGUGACUUUUCCUCAAAAGUUGCAUCAUAUCUCUAGACAACUCCUUACUAAGUCUUCUAAAUUCAUAGGAAUUGUGUGAGGAACAGAACUAACUGAAACCAUAAUUCACUGUAAAUCUCUCAUCACACUACAUAUGCAAACUUGUCCAUUUGCUUUCAGUCAUGAGACAAGAAAGAACACUGACAUCAUCAAACACGGCACUAAAAAUUACUAAAUGUAAAUGUAAAUGUUUUUCCUGUUUAACACUGUAAAGCUGCUUUGACACAAUCAGUAUUGUAUAAAGCGCUAUAGAAAUAGAGAAGGUGACUUGACUAUUUAGACAUAAAAAAAAUCUAACAAACUUUACUGCAGUCCAGUGUAACUGCUGUCCUAUCUAAAUUAAGGUAAAAUGGCACAAAUAAAAAGGAGCACUGAUAAGAGUGUGAAAGGCUGGUAGAGGUGGGUUCAGAAACACUGCAUAGUGCAGCUGAAGCUACUUACAUCUUUUGCAAGAUGAUAAUAUCCAAAAAUAAUCUUAGCUUGAUGGAAUCCUCCAGACUGGGUUGAAAACGGCAGCAGAGAAAUGCUUUGCUGCUGCAAGAUAAAAGUCACUACAAUGACGCAUCCCUUAUGAAACUUAUGAAAGCCCUGUGUAAGAACAUAAAAGGUUGUUGAUUCAGAAAUAUGUCAUACUUGUGCAAAUCACGUAUCAAAGGUGUCAUUUCAUGCACUUGCUUCCAGGACCUAGUGAGCCGCCUAAACUUGAAGGUGUCAAAGGUGAUUAUGCUGCUUUAGUGAAAAUCGAAUGAAAAUUUUGCACCUAUUACUGGAUAUAUUCUUCAGCUGUUACAGAACAGGUGGAAACGCGUGGCCCGACAGUGAUCCAGAUCCUGUCCUG